rnacentral:lncRNA from 8 species
AUGGCCACUAUUGUUCCUGUACCCAAGAGAGCAAAGGUAACUGAACUAAAUUACUAUCCCCCCAUAGCACUCACUUCCGUCAUCAUGAAGUGCUUUGAGAGACUAGUCAAGGAUCAUACCUUACCUGUCACCCUAGACCCACUUCAAUUUGCUUACCGCCCCAAUAGAUCCACAGACGAUGCAAUCGCCAUCGCACUGCACACUGCCCGAUCCUAUCUGGACAAGAGGAAUACCUAUGUAAGAAUGCUGUUCAUUGACUAUAGCUCAGCAUUCAACACCAUAGUACCCGCCAAGCUCAUCAUUAAGCUCGAGGCCCUGGGUCUGAACCCCGCCCUGUGCAACUGGGUCCUGGACUUCCUGACGGGCCGCCCUCAGGUGGUGAAGGUAGGAAACAACACCUCCACUUCGCUGCUCAGCCCCCUCCUGUUCACCUAUAACUGCGUGGCCACGCACACCUCCAACUCAAUCAUCAAGUUUGCAGACGACACAACAGUAGUAGGCUUGAUUACCAACAAUGACAAGACAGCCUACAGGGAGGAGGUGAGGGCUCUGGGAGUGUGGUGCCAGGAAAUUAACCUCUCACUCAAUGUCAACAAAACAAAGGAGAUGAUCAUGGACUUCAGGAAACAGCAGAGGGAGCACCCUCCUAUCCACAUCGACAGGACCGCAGUGGAGAAGGUGGAAAGCUUCAAGUUCCUCGGCGUACACAUCACUGACAAACUGAAAUUGUCCACCCACACAGAAAGUGUGGUGAAGAAGGCGAAAUACCACCUCUUCAACCUCAGGAGGGUGAAGAAAUUUGGCUUGGCACCUAAAACCCUCACAAACUUUUACAGAUGCACAAUUGAGAGCAUCCUGUCGGGUUGUAUCACCGCCUGGUACGGAAACUGCACCGCCCGCAACCGCAGGGCUCUCCAGAGGCUGGUGCGGUCUGCCCAACGCAUCACCGGGGGCAAACUACCUGCCCUCCAGGACACCUACAGCACCCGAUGUCACAGGAAGGCCAAAAAUAUCAUCAAGGACAACAACCAUCCAAGCCACUGCCUGUUCACCCCACUAUCAUCCAGAAGCGAGGUCAGUACAGGUGCAUCAAAGCUGGGACCGAGAGACUGA